AUCGGGGACCGUGUGGCAAGAGCUGGACGGCAGACGCUCGGGUGUGAAGCCCUGCAAGAGGCCAUCAGAAAUUUGUCAAGUGUGACCGUCGAGCUGGCGAUUACUUCACCCGAGUGCCGAUGAGGUAAUCACCGCAUGCACAUACAGACUGCCAUCAUACCCAUGCCAUCAUUGUUACGGUGGGAGACUGUGGAGGCCUUGGCAGCAGCGGGUGCGAUGUUCAUGUCCAUCAUAAUCUGCACAGGCAUUUUCAGGUGCCGCAUGAGGCCCCAAAGGCAUCGCAGCAAGGAAUUCAUGGACGUACAGGGAUUAUAUACCAGCAAUAUCGUGUAUCAAUCCAGGUCGCCUCCCAGCACGACUGUUCAUCAGCACUAUGAGAUUCACUUGGAGGAAAAGCAUGACGCGAUUUAUGAGAACUUCGGCAACGGCUUGGCGAUCAACCAGCAUACGGCGCCGGGCCUAAUCAGAGAAGCUGGUGAGAGUCAUGACUCUGAGUUAGAGGAUCGCUCGAGGUAUCUCAAUGAGGCCGACAACAUCUACUGCAACUACGGCGUCGCUUACGAGGAAAAUUGCCGUUUUGAUGAAGAUUACAUCUUCCCUGAUGGACAGAGCUCAGCUGAGGAACCUUCCGAGUUUCACUGUGAGUAGAGAAGGUCCCAUUGCCACUGAAGAAGCAUCAUGGACAUAAGAAGCAUUUGCAGAAAACGAAAAAAAAUAUCCACCAUCUUAACAAGCACAAUACAAAACCUUUAUUUUGCUUAGGACCGCUAUUUACUUUGUGUGACCAUUUUGAUUACACACUGACAGCUGUAUUGAAGGGAAAAUGUCUUACACAGAGCACCCAUAACGUGACCCAUGCAACAAUUACACAUGCCUUUGUACAUGCCGGAUGUGGAUGUGAAUACAGAUAACAGUCAGGAAAGCGUUCUUGAAAUAAUAUGAUGUUACAAAUAUGUACUCAGCUUGUUGUUUUUGCUCUUAGU